ensembl:lncRNA
AGCAGACGACGUGUGCCAUAGUAUGGGAUAGUCUACUACUCUGAGGCGCACUGAAUUACUCCAAGGUUCACUGCUCUCCAAUUUGGAGACACACUCAUAGCCACAAAAUAACAGUCACUAAAUAUUAGUCAAAAGAUACAUUGUAGAGGUUUGUCUAAAACUACAGAGGUAACUAGCUAUCAGCCAAUGGACUUGGCGUGCCUACAAACAGCAUCACAGUUGGCACUGAUCAAAACAAGCUAGCUCGCUAAGUUAUAUAAUGCAGCGAUAUAUUUUGUGACAUUGUGCCGCAUUGUGCACUCGGAUGGCAGUGGUCGGAAACACAGUGGACAGACAUCGAGAUAAAUUGAACCAAAAACAGAGGCAGCAAUUCCAGUCCACUCAUGCUUAAGUGCAUCCAGCCUAUUCUGCAGCAGGUGGGAUGGUCCUCCCUAAACCAAUAGCCUGGGUGUCAUCCACACCGACCUCAAGCCCGACAGCAUCAUGCUCGUGGAUCCCACACGCCCGCAUAAGGUUAUCGACUUUGCGGUUUAGCCUGCCAUGUGUCCGAAGCUGUGUCUUCGAUUUACCUGCAAUCUCAAACUCCCAUCGAUUCGCUACCUAUCCCAGACUCAGGGCUUUCCGGGGGAGUAGCUGCUGAGUACGAGUACACAAAGACCAGGCCCUUCGACAGAAGGCCUGGCUCUAGCUAGCCUCUCUGGAGACUAAAGAGAUAGAAUGUGAGGCUGAGAUUAGUACCCAGUCCAUGGAGUCUCAUCAGUACAUCGUCAGCUGCCUGGAUGACAUGAUGCAGGUGUUUCAUUUCCAUUGUCGUCUCACGAAUUUGUUCCUGACGGUGGACGUUCAGAACAACCUGGAGUGACCUGAUGGUACUUCUUCUGAGUGCCAUGUCCUGCUUUCAAAACGUGGAGAUUUGCAAUUUGGUGGUGCAGCUCCUUUGAUUGCAAGAAUAAUCUGGUGGGCACUCUGGUGUGAAUGCUGCAACAGGGCAGGGCAUCACUUGAGCAGCUCUCACAGCAGAGUUCAGUCCAGCGGAGGCAGGAGGACCAAGGCCAGAUACACCAAUAGCCACGCUAGAUGCACACACCCACCAAGAAAUCCAAAUCCUCUCUGUGUUGGUUGGAAGCAGUACAUCAGUGGACAUCAUACCAACUCUACACUUCAUUCACCAACAACCAAGCACCAGAAUGGAAAACAAAACCAUAACCAUAGCUGAAAUAUUAGCUAAACCAAGAAAUCGUCAACAGGUAAACAUCAAAGUGAAAAUUCAAGACAUCCGAGAAAACACCACCCGUUGGCUUCAACACGAAUGCCGAGAAAUACAGAUGUCGACCUACUCCGUCGCCGACAGCACUGCCAGUAUCCUGCUAACUACAUGGAACAACAUGGACCUCACUAUAAACAGCUGGUACACCCUCUCACCUGUCACUGUUAAGGACUACAACAACACCAUCACUGUCAGCACAUCACCAUCCACCGCAGCAGAGACCAUCAAUCGACCCCCCAGACAUGGUGUAGCUGCACCAGUAACAGACAAUUCAGAAGAAGUCACUGGACUCAUCAUUGGAGCCAUGACUACAUCAACAAUCACCUGUCCCAAAAGGCACCCUCUUCCCAACUGUCCUCCUGGUGCACCUUUCCACAUGUGCCCUACAUGUAACCAACAUUUCAUUACAGCUAAGCUCCGCCACCAAUGGAAUGUUACCCUCACAUUGGAGAUAAAUGACACCACUAUAAGAGAAUUUAAGAUGGAUCAUACAGUCGUCCUAAACACCGCACCAAAGCACAUCUACCUGGACACAGACCCAAUCACAGUCACUGCACAUUUCCUGUCCAUUGGUUUAGUAACUGUGCGUGUCAAAGAUGAUGCUGUUUCUGCACUACACCCCUGCACAGCUUCUGCAUCUGUCCAACAAGAUACAGACAUCGCUGAUGAGACCCUCUUGACUUUUUUGGACGAAACGCUUUCUACCAGUGACGUCUAAAUCAACACAACACAUAGUUCUGACAACUUAUUGCAUUACACUCACCAAAACAUACAUCUUCACAUACAACACUUGUCAUAAACAUACCCUUAACAUUUCAUAAUCCUAUUGUUUCACAGUUGUUAUCUUAAUAAUCUUCAUAAUUGUUAUACUUGUAAAUGUUUUUAUUUGAUUUUCAAUUGCACAGUAAAUCAGUAAAUCAGAUGAUGUAAAUAUUUUGCCUUCUUACUAUUGUCAAACACAUUAAUUUUACUCUCACUUUAAAUGUGUUUUCAAUGUAAAACUUAAAAUGUGUAAAAACACUUAUUGUUCAACAUACAUUCUUUUACUUAUCUUCAUUGUACUUAUACAUUUGUCUUUAACUUGUAUUUUUUCAUUUGUAGUAAAUUCUUUGCUUAUUGUAAAAAAUUACAAAAGGUUACAAUAACAAAUAGUCAACCACCCAGCAUUCACAUACAUUUCCAACACAACAUUGACAUGGACAUAUCACCACAUGUAACUACACUGACUCCAAUUGAUUUAAAAUUCAGUACGUAUGUUUAUGUAAGACACAUAUGUAAUUAUUCUACUUUGACACCACAAUAGCUAUGAAAAUAAGACUGAAUGCAAUUAUGAAGCAACUUUGUACAUAUACAAUUUUUCUUGAUGUUUGUUUAUAAUUGGAAUAUCAUAGUAUGCAAAACAAUUUGUUCCAAUCAAGUAGGUUUACUUUUAUUGGACAAGAAGCCUUCCAUGAGUGGUGACAUUUGACAACCUCAGACAGUCUGCCACUGGGCCAAAUGAAAAGGCUCUUGUCUUUAUUUGCAAUGCACCUAGACCAUAAGAGGCAAGCUGGGGCCUCUUGUACUGUUAGAAAGGCCAGUUACAUUAAACAUUAUUGCUGUCAUAUACCAUAUUCCUUUGAUUAAACGCUGCAGUGUUUAUUACACAAUGCUCAUUUGUGGUGCACAUUUAUUCAAGGGUAAUGUUCAUUCAAGGGCAACGUUUAAUUGGUAAAAGAGAUUCAGUGAAUUGUAGCUGCAGUGCAGCCAUAGACAAACACAGAAUAGACAAGGAGGUCAAACAAAAGCCCAGUGUAAAAUGUAUGCCGCGCGUCUCUCUACUGUGUGUACAAAUCUGACGCAGCAUACUGUUAGAUUUCGGUUUCUUUGUCAUAACUUCACAUAAUUUCACAUUGUACAAAUUGUGUGAACAACCCCCAAAAAGUUAGUUUGCAUAGCACCAGGCCACAGCCAUCAAGCAACUCCUGGCCUUUUGUCUAUGUUGAUGAGCCAUCAGACAUGGUUCCUGGCUUUUGUGUGUCUUGAAGCCGGAAACGUUAGGUGGCCUUUGUCUUCACCCAUGACGAGAUGGCUCAAGCCAAAAGGUUAUUAGCAUUUAUAUGGCCAUACCUGGUAUGACCAUAUAGGGCCUUUGGUCAAGUGUCAUGUCAAUUUUGUAAUGAUUGGAAUGUUAAGGAGGAACCCGCCAUUGCUGCCUGCAGCUAUAUUUAUAGUUGCAUUUUUGGGUCACUUUGUCUCAUUGAUAGCCCAUGACUUAAAUAUACAGCAGUAAUAAUGGGAACAUGUCUUCAGCAACAACUACAUCUAUAUUUUUCAUACAUGUACAUUUCAAUGCAAAUGCUGUACUGCACUACUUGUGUAAAGUUGUGUAGUAUCGUUGGUAACCAGGCUGCAAACAAACAAAACAAAGCAGAGAACUGAAUCUGCCUUAUUUCCAGUGUACAAUUUAAUUUGUUUGUCAAAAUACAACAUCUUUCCAUCUACAAUGAUCUAAAUUUUCUCCGGUUUUGAACUUUUUGCUGGUGGUGAACAUUGACUGAGACAGGUAUCCAGGAAUUUCGGAAGAAGUGGUCACUGAAUGCAUUUUGUAUCUAAGCAAUGGGAAAGUAUCCACAGUUGUGUUCACAUAGUCUACUGGUAUGCUGAUAUGAAAAGGUGUACAUGGUAUUGAGACAAGUGUGAAAAUGAUUGGAAAAACUGUAAACCCAAUGUAAAACAUUCACGUUGUGCAGCCCAUAUUAUUCUGAAGCAUGCAGAAUCUGAGCUAGCCAGCUGUAGCUAUCCUAGUUGACUAAUUAGCUACUGGGAACAUAAUGAAAGACUACCGUAUACAAUUUAUUUCUAUAGCCCAUUCAAAAAACAAUAGGAGUUGUACCAAAGUGCUUUCUAGUUGUGGUAAAUAGAUUGACAAUAAGAAUAAACAUGAAUUAAAGGAAAUAAAUGUUAAAACAUACAAACAAAUAACAGGAAUAGAAGUAGAAAGAAUAGAAGACAAAAUAACACAAAAUACAUUCUCGAACACACUAAAGAAAUACUGAAACACACUAAUUAAAUACUAAAACAUGAUACAUGAGUACAAUUAAUAAUGAAAAGACACAUACAAUGAACAAGAUAAGCAAGUAAAAAGUUAAUCAGAUGAUCUUACUGUUGUCAUUAUGUUAACCGGUACAAUAUUUAUGAAUUAUGGUAUUAAAAAAAUGUCAGGUCUUGGGUCUGUACAUUAUGUUGGUUGUGUGUACGAUCAGUGAGAUUAAAAUUAUUACCAAUUAAUAAGA